rnacentral:rRNA from 1 species
AAGCCUUGACAUUGAUUGAAUCCCGUAGAGAUACAGGAGUGCCAUUUCGGUGGAACAUGAAAACAGGUGCUGCACGGCUGUCGUCAGCUCGUGUCGUGAGAUGUUGGGUUAAGUCCCGCAACGAGCGCAACCCUCGUCGUUAGUUGCUAACAGUUCGGCUGAGCACUCUAGCGAGACUGCCUUCGCAAGGAGGAGGAAGGUGAGGACGACGUCAAGUCAUCAUGGCCCUUAUGGCUUGGGCUACACACGUGCUACAAUGGGGCGUACAGAGAGUUGCGAUACCGCGAGGUGGAGCUAAUCUCAUAAAGCGUCUCUCAGUUCGGAUUGGACUCUGCAACUCGAGUCCAUGAAGCUGGAAUCACUAGUAAUCGUAGAUCAGCAAUGCUACGGUGAAUACGUUCCCGGGUCU